GACGAACGCUGGCGGCGUGGAUUAGGCAUGCAAGUCGGACGGUAGGGCUUUAUCGUAAGAUAGAGUUUGAGAGUGGCGAACGGGUGAGUAACACGUAGGAAUCUACCCUUAAGACGGGGACAACCCAGGGAAACUUGGGCUAAUACCGGAUGAGAGUGCGAGAGAUUGCAUUUAAAAGGAUGGCGAAAGUUGUCGCUUAGGGAUGAGCCUGCGGUCUAUUAGUUAGUUGGUGAGGUAAGAGCUCACCAAGGCGAUGAUAGAUAGGCGGCCUUAACGGGUGGUCGCCCACACUGGGAUUGAGAUACGGCCCAGACUCCUACGGGAGGCAGCAGUCGAGAAUAGUCUACAAUGGUCGGAAGACUGAUAGUGCGACGCCGCGUGAACGAUGAAUCCCUUCGGGGUGUAAAGUUCUUUUAUAUGUGAGCAGUGCUUCUUAUAUUAACAGUAUGGGGAGAGAGAUAUUAGCAUAUGAAUAAGCAACGGCUAACUCCGUGCCAG
rnacentral:rRNA from 1 species